CCUACGGGAGGCAGCAGUGGGGAAUAGUGGGCAAUGGGCGCAAGCCUGACCCAGCAACGCCGCGGGAAGGAAGAAGGCGUGCGGGUUGGAAACUUCUUUUCUCAGGGACGAAGAAAGUGACGGUACCUGAGGAAUAAGCCACGGCUAACUACGCGCCAGCAGCCGCGGUAAUACGUAGGGGGCAAGCGUUAUCCGGAUUUAUUGGGUGUAAAGGGCGUGUAGGCGGGAGCGCAAGUCAGAUGUGAAAACUCAGGGCUCAACCCUGAGCCUGCAUUUGAAACUGUGUUUCUUGAGUGCUGGGGAGGCAAUCGGAAUUCCGUGUGUAGCGGUGAAAUGCGUAGAUAUACGGAGGAACACCAGUGGCGAAGGCGGAUUGCUGGACAGUAACUGACGCUGAGGCGCGAAAGCGUGGGGAGCAAACAGGAUUAGAUACCCCUGUAGUC
rnacentral:rRNA from 1 species